UCAGCACUUCCACGCCAUCCCGGGCCUGACCCCCCCAGCGAUUCACACGGGCGCGGCACAAGACGGCAUUGCUUCCUCCUCAUUCCGAGCGGCCGGGUGGGUGGGGGCUUGGCAGCGAGCCGGUCCCCACCCUCGCCAGCUUCGGCAAACGCGGCCAGAGGCUCUGCACUGAUGCAAUUUCCAUGCCCCAAACUCUGGGCACACCCGAUGUUGGGUUUUAAAUCUCUCUCAUCAGGAAGAGCCGGGCGCUGGCCAGGACUUCCUCCCGCAAAGUCCCUGGUGUCGCGGUUCUGAAAUCAGGGCCGCAAGAGCCAGGAAAUGCGAAGUUCCCGGCGUCGGCUGCUUCUGUCACCGACCUGGCCUUCCCACACGCGGUUUGUGCCCCGUGCCAGUGGGAGGGGCAGCUUGGGCUGGGUUUUAACCGAUCGAAGCCUGGUCUGCAGUUAGCUCGGCGCCCAGGGCUGGGAGAAAUCCACGCCCGUGAGCGCCGCUGUUAAGCCGACCCAGCGAGGUCGAUGCACGAUUUCUUCCAUAAACCAGCUCCUGUUUCUCGCAAAAGGGAUGGGAGGAAGCAGUUGCAACAGGGGGCUACCCCAGUCUCCAACCUCCAGGCUUCCGAGGGACACCCAGACAGACAGACAGACAACCCGGGAUCUUACGAUCUGAAUGCAGCCUGUGCUGCUCCGGCUGGGACAGUUAAAGCCGUGCAACCUGUGUGUGUCGAAAAGCCCUUCGCGUCUCACGUGGGACGCCAUUCGCUGGAGAAACUCACGUCCGAUUGUUUAAAAACCGGCUGUCGUCACAGUGUCCGCCGGGUCGGGCCCAGCCCAGAGCUGGCGCUAGGGGAUCUGCCAGCCCCCCCCCCCCCC
rnacentral:lncRNA from 1 species